GACGGAGGGGGCUAGCGUUGUUCGGAAUUACUGGGCGUAAAGAGCGUGUAGGCGGUCUUUUAAGUCAGGCGUGAAAGCCCUGGGCUCAACCCGGGAACUGCGCUUGAGACUGGGAGACUAGAGUACUGUAGAGGAGAGUGGAAUUCCUAGUGUAGAGGUGAAAUUCGUAGAUAUUAGGAGGAACACCAGAGGCGAAGGCGGCUCUCUGGGCAGUAACUGACGCUGAGACGCGAAAGCGUGGGGAGCAAACAGG
rnacentral:rRNA from 1 species